ACAAGCUAGCAUGCAUGCAGGUAGAUGAUUCAUUCGGGAGGCAGCAGUGGGGAAUCUUUCGCAAUGAGUGAAAGCCAGACGGAGCAACGCCGCGUGAGUGAUGAAGGCAUUCGGGUUGUAAAACUCUGUCUUCAGGGAAGAAAAAAAUGACGGUACCUGAGGAGGAAGCCACGGCUAAAUACGUGCCAGCACCCGCGGUAAUAUGUAGGUGGCAAGCGUUGUCCUGAAUUACUGGGGGUAAAGAGCGAGUAGGCGGGGAUCUAAGUCAGGAGUGAAAACUGGUGGCUCACAUUCCAACGUGCUCUUGAAACUGGAUCUCUUGAGGGUACGAGAGGAAAAAGGAAUUUCCACAGUAGCGGUGAAAAGCGUAGAUAUUGGGAGGAACACCACUGGGGAAGGCGGCUUUUUGGCAUACAACUGACGCUGAGGCGCGAAAGCGUGGGGAGCAAACGGGAUUAGAUACCCCGGUAGUCUUAGCCGUAAACGAUGGGCACUAGGGGUAGGGGGUAUUGACCCCUUUUGUGCCGCAGAUAACGCACUAAGUGCCCCGCCUGGGGAGUACGGUCGCAAGAGUAAAACUCAAAGGAAUGACGGAAUCUCUCGAGGAGCCCCGGACCGAGC
rnacentral:rRNA from 1 species